GAUGAACGCUGGCGGCGUGCCUAAUACAUGCAAGUCGAGCGAACAGACGAGGAGCUUGCUCCUCUGACGUUAGCGGCGGACGGGUGAGUAACACGUGGAUAACCUACCUAUAAGACUGGGAUAACUUCGGGAAACCGGAGCUACUACCGGCUAAUAUCUUGAACCGCAUGGUUCAAUAGUGAAAGACGGUUUUGCUGUCACUUAUAGAUUGAUCCGCGCCGCAUUAGCUAGUUGGUAAGGUAACGGCUUACCAAGGCGACGAUGAGUAGCCGACCUGAGAGGGUGAUCGGCCACACUGGAACUGAGACACGGUCCAGACUCCUACGGGAGGCAGCAGUAGGGAAUCUUCCGCAAUGGGCGAAAGCCUGACGGAGCAACGCCGCGUGAGUGAUGAAGGUCUUCGGAUCGUAAAGCUCUGUUAUUAGGGAAGAACAAAUGUGUAAUUAACUAGUCACGGCUUGACGGUACCGAAUGAGAAAGCCACGGCUAACUACGUG
rnacentral:rRNA from 1 species